GCGCAGGGAGGCUGUUCUAGAUGAUAAAGGGCUGGGAGGGAGCGGUGGGAGGCUCCUGUGAUUGCCGGUCCCGAAAGCAAGCUUUGCUGGAGCCAGCUGAACAGAGUGAUAAGGUCAGAAGAAAGAUCGGUCUGAGAGACAGGCAACAUUGUUAACAGCAAGUCUUGUCAUUCUGGAUGGUUGAGGCUUUGGCAAUCGUGCUGGAAACUUUACUAAAUAAUCUUAAUAUAAUUAAUAGUUUUGUUGUGUCAUAGAGCCACAGGGUAUGGUCUGUUGCAAUCACACUCCUGGGAGUGACCCCCUGAGUGUGCCAGGCCCAAGAGACCCACACAGGGGCGGGUCCAUGGGCUCCAGGACUCUGAGACUGGGCCUUCAGUACCUGCUAUCCCCAUCUCUCUUUGGCUGCUUGCAGAGAAUCCCGCCAAGCCAGACUCCUGCAGGAAGCUUGUACUGUGCCCUGUCACGGUGCCACACUCUCAAGGAGUAUUUACAGCGAUACAGGCAGCCUUUUCAAAGCAGGACCAGAGUGAAAGAGUGAGAAACAAAAGUUCACCAGAAGCUCAGUCUUGAACUGAUGAAUCACAGAAUCUCCAGGUGGCCACUGUAUCAAAAGGAAACAACAGUUUGUUUAAGGAAGGUGGGGAGAGUGAAGGUUUGUUUACUAUAAGGGGUGGCCGUGGGAGGAAAUAGACAAGUAGAAUGUGGCAUGAGAAGAGGAGAGAGCAGUGGAAGGGGAAGAGAGAAGAGAAAAGCGGGCAGUGAGAAAGAAGUGGAAGAGAGGGGGUGGAAGAUGCAUAACUUUUAAUAAUCCAUCUGAAUUUAAGGGCAUUGUCUGAGAAAAGAGCCUGUUUGCUCAACCUGUAUCCAGGAUGAUAUGGACAGUGGCUUCGGGCCUCAGUCCAGCUGAACAGCUUGUGCAUUCCCACGUCUGUUUGAGCUGGUCAGAGGGAUAGUAAGAAUGUCUCUGAUAUUCCGAGACUUGGUUGGGUUUCAGGCCUAAACACUUAGUUAUUUUGUUUUUUAUUUUAAUUGCAUUUUUUAUCUCCCAUAAUUUUAAAAUUGUAGUAUCAUGGCCCAAACAUUCCAUAUCAGAGCUGGGAGGUCAAUAAGAUGACUGUAACUGUGUUCUCAUCAGAGUUAGGGACUGAUAGCACUGGCAAGAGAACAGCAUGGUAUUGGAAGACAGUAGGUAAGCUUCAGCCAUUCUUGAUUUACAGCACUUCUUGGUGUUCUUGAAACAAGGCCCACCCACUGCUCUGCCAAAAUGCAUCUAACUCUUGAUUUGCAGAAUUCCAUGUGUGUCUAGUUUUGAGGUACUCGCACAGCUCUGUCAAUUCAUCUCAAGACACAGUGAAUUCAUCUUGGACAGCAAAGCCCCACCACUAGGAGACACAGUUCUCCAAGCACCUCUCUUCAAACACACAUUGAAAGAAGAAACAGAAACAUGCAUUGCCAGAUCAGACCAAUGGUCCAUCCCGUCCAGCAUCUUGUCUCUGACAAUGGCCAGUACCUGAGGGCUCACGGGAAGAUUCAAGAAACCUCCCAGUGGACAAUUGUGGAAUAACCUGCCCAUAGAGAAGUUUCUUCCUUACCCGUCUGUUAACGAUUAUUUUAUGCCUGAAAUGAGAGGGCAUAUUCCAUCUACAUUUUGUAAAAUUCUGUUGUGAUGAAAGCAGGGCCGCCCGGGGAGGGGGGGCGGCAAGUGGGGCAAUUUGCCCCAAGCCCGGGCCCCGCAGGGGCCCCCACGAGAGUUUUUGGCCGCACUUCAGCAGCGGGUCCUUCAGUGCCGCCGAACACGUCUGGAGCAGAAGGACCCCCGCCGCCAAAGACCCCAGGCCCCCUGAAUCCUCUGGGCGGCUCUGGAUGAAAGGGGAGCUGCCCUGUAAUAAUGUAUGAAAACUGUAUGUUGACCUGUUUAUUGGGAUGUUUACUGAAUGAAUAUAUUGGUUUAGUUUAAUGGGGGGACUGUAAAGAAAACAAGCAGGAAGGGGAAAAGAAUAGCUCAAGAUAAGCCAUUUUUCAGCAAACACUUGAGAGAAUGCCAGGACUAGAAAAGGCCUGGGAACCAGAAGAUCAAAAGGACUCUAGCCAUGUAAAAGGGGAUUCUCUUUCAAAAGCGGGGGAGGGGAAGAAGGGGGGCGGUGUACUCUUGGAGGGAGGUUUUUGCGGGGACCAAACUGACACAGGUUGCUGCUGGGGGGGGUGGUGUCUGAAGAAAUUAGACUUGCCUAGUCACCCUCACAGGAUGGUAACUGAUUAUCCUCUUUCAAAACCCUCCUCAAAACUUCCCUUUUCCAUGAUGCCUACAAAAAACUUGAUUAUGGUUAAGUUGCUGUUAUGCUGAGGCCAUUGCCUAUCAUGCUGACCAAUACUGUCUCAUUGUUUCUUUGUACUCCCUUAUCUGUCUAUAUCCACCUAUUCUCUGUUGUCUUAGAUAGUAAGCUCUUUGGACAGACACUGCCUUUCUGGACAGUGUUGGUAUCACGUCUAAGACAAUGGGGUCCUGAUCCAGGACUAGGGAUUCUGUGCACUACUGUAAUAUAAAUAAUUAUUACAGAUCUUUAGGUAAGAAAAACAUGCAUCUGGUCACCAUAGACACCACUGGUCACAUGCUCCUGAAGGAAAAAAAACCGCACAUUCUGAACCCAGUCAGACCAGCUGGGUCAGCAGAGUUGAUAUGCAGGCUACUCAAGCCCAGGGCCCGAAGAGAAGGAGAAUUUUUUAAUUCCUCCCCAGUAGAGGUAAAGCCUUAAGGCCUGACACUGAGGGGUGCACUCAGAGCCCAGAAAGGGGACAAAGAUGCAGCUAGCCCUGAACCAUGGCAGCUGUCUAAUGGAACUGUGGAUGUUCACUUUAAGUUCUUGGCCUCAGUGUCACCCACUGACAGUAAGUUCCAAAGGUGAAGUAUAUUUUAUGUAAAAAAUCAUUUCCUUUGAUCAGUUUUAAAUUUGUUGCAUUUCAGUUUCUUUUAAUGUCCCCUUUUUUCCUGUGUUAUGAGCAGGGAUCCUAUUUUUUUGUGAUAAAAAUCCCAAAAUUCUCUGAUUAAAAAAACAUAAAAAUCCACGUUUUUCCAUGAUUAAAAUGAAAUCUGACAGCGGGAGCCCCACCAUGUGGGGCUGUCAGCUGGACCCCUGCCACCCGGGGCUGAAGUGUCUAUAUCCCAUAUUCUGCGUGUAUGUUGGUGGCAAGGGGUUCUACUUUAUAUGUUUUUAUUUUUUCCACAAAAUGUAAAAACUACAGAUUCUCUGUAAAAAAACAAAUUUUGCUUUUUUCUAUGGCAAACAGAUUUCUAGGAUCCCUGGUUAUGAGACGGGUAAAUAGGAGUACCUUAUUUAUCUUCUCUAUACCAGUCAUUGUUUUAUAUAUUUGUCAUGUCUCCUCGUAUUCAUCUUUCACUAAACCAAACUGUCCCAAUCUUGUCACACUAUCUCCAGGUAUAAUUGUUUCCAGGUCCCUUAUAAUUUUCAUCCUCCAUCUCUGAACCUUUGCUAAGAUUUCUCUGGUUCUCCUCUAUCUGAUUCAAAACAGAGUGGCCCAAAGCAAACACAGUAUUCCAGGCACUGUACUCUUCAAGGUGCUGAGUGCUCUGGCUCCAAUCUGGCAAAGUACUCAAUUUAUGCUUAGCUUUAACCACUGACUUCAGUGGGACUCCUCACACAUUUACAGGUAAGCAGGUGCUUGAGUGCUUUGCUGCAUUGUGGCCAGGGUGCUCAACGCAUUACUGGCCUGAGCUCCAGGUGAGGAUGUCCCAUUGAUUUAUAUAAUGGUGUAAUAUUUCACUAUUUCCAGUCCCAUUCAUUAAAGCACUCUAACAUUUUGUUUGUUUGCUUUUUUGACUGCUACUGCAUAUUGAACAGCAGACUUCCUUGCACUGUCCACAGUCAUGCCCGUCUCCUUUUGUGAUUGUAAUUGUGUGGCAAUUUAGAACCAAGUAAUGUACAUUAAGAGUUCAAAAUAUUCCUCCCAAUGU